CCUACGGGAGGCAGCAGUGGGGAAUAUUGCACAAUGGGCGAAAGCCUGAUGCAGCAACGCCGCGUGAGCGAUGAAGGCCUUCGGGUCGUAAAGCUCUGUCCUCAAGGAAGAUAAUGACGGUAAUUGAGGAGGCAUCCCCGGCUAACUACGUGCCAGCAGCCGCGGUCAUACGUAGGGGGCUAGCGUUAUCCGGAAGUACUGGGCGAAACGGGUGCGUAGGUGGUUUCUUAAGUCAGAGGUGAAAGGCUACGGCUCAACCGUAGUAAGCCUUUGGAACUGGGAAACUUGAGUGCAGGAGAGGAGAGUGGAAUUCCUAGGGUAGCGGUGAAAUGCGUAGAUAUUAGGGAGGACACCAGUUGCGAAGGCGGCUCUCUGGACUUGAACUGACACUGAGGCACGAAAGCGUGGGGAGCAAACAGGAUUAGAUACCCCUGGUAGUC
rnacentral:rRNA from 1 species